rnacentral:rRNA from 1 species
UACAGAGGGGGCGAGCGUUGUUCGGAAUUACUGGGCGUAAAGGGCGCGUAGGCGGCCAACUAAGUCGGACGUGAAAUCCCAAGGCUCAACCUUGGAACUGCGUCCGAUACUGGAUGGCUUGAAUCCGGGAGAGGGAUGUGGAAUUCCAGGUGUAGCGGUGAAAUGCGUAGAUAUCUGGAGGAACACCGGUGGCGAAGGCGGCAUCCUGGACCGGUAUUGACGCUUGAGGCGC